rnacentral:rRNA from 1 species
GAUGAACGCUGGCGGCGUGCCUAAUACAUGCAAGUCGAACGCAUAGCGAAAGGUGCUUGCACCUUUCAAGUGAGUGGCGAACGGGUGAGUAACACGUGGACAACCUGCCUCAAGGCUGGGGAUAACAUUUGGAAGCAGAUGCUAAUACCGAAUAAAACUUAGUGUCGCAUGACACAAAGUUAAAAGGCGCUUCGGCGUCACCUAGAGAUGGAUCCGCGGUGCAUUAGUUAGUUGGUGGGGUAAAGGCCUACCAAGACAAUGAUGCAUAGCCGAGUUGAGAGACUGAUCGGCCACAUUGGGACUGAGACACGGCCCAGACUCCUACGGGAGGCUGCAGUAGGGAAUCUUCCACAAUGGGCGAAAGCCUGAUGGAGCAACGCCGCGUGUGUGAUGAAGGCUUUCGGGUCGUAAAGCACUGUUGUAUGGGAAGAACAGCUAGAAUAGGAAAUGAUUUUAGUUUGACGGUACCAUACCAGAAAGGGACGGCUAAAUACGUG